UUAAAGCGGUCAGCCAGCUUGCAACACGGAAGCAGCUUUUAGAGGAAUUAAAACCAAAACAAGGAGCAAAUUCUGGAUUAAAAAGAUAUUUGCAACCAUUCUUCCAAUCAAUUUUAGAAAAUUUCCACCACCUCAAAAAGAAAUCCUGAUGAAGAAACAUCCUGAGAAGGUUGACAUGCUGAAUGCCUUAAAGAACUUCAAUUGGGAUGCCAGAUGAAAGUGUAACUAGAAUUUCUAUGGCUUAAAUAACGAGAUCCAAGGAGAUUUCUGAGAAGUCCUACUUGGGAUGAAAAGAUGGACUUACAUAAUAAAAUAUAAUUUAUAAAGAUAAUUUGAACAUAAAGUAGAUCACAAAACUAUCUUUCCUAGAGUUGGAAGAUGAAUUUGGUAAGUCUGACGUGUGGAUAAAAAUUAUAUAUCACAUAUUUCUUAGAAAUCAGAGUAGAUAUCAGUGUUCUUUCUGAUUAGUCCAGAUAAUUAGGAAAGAAGUAGAGGGAGAAAAACUCUAGAAGUAAGAAAGUUUGAUUUCAUGUGUAAUCAGAAGAAAUAUUCAAGUAAUUUAUCACUAAUUCAAAUAGUCAAGAAAAUUCUAGGAAAAGCCCUAGGAAGCAUAAUUAGCUAUGCUGAGAGUUGAAACAUUUGCAAAAUGUCCCUGUUAUAAUUUGCUAUUUUAUUCCCCCUGAGACCUGAGCAAUGCUUUAUCAACAAAUCCCUAAAGACUUUUUAGCAAGUCUUAACAUGAAAUACUUGUACUUGAUGCAAGACUUUUCACCUAGAAAGAAAAGUGGCCGGCUUUGGAAGGUUAGCUUCUUACUUUUUGAAAAGCUUUCUGGAACUCUGCCACCUACACUUUCUGGGCUUCAUUUACGCUUGGUGAAAAAUGGAGGGAUUGUACCUGUCACCCACUUGUCUCCCAAGGGUGUUAUAGAGUAUCUAGAGAAAGUCCAUUUACCCACAAUCCUGUGCUGUGAAUGACAGGCCGAUGGGCCUCCCUGGCCCAAUAAUGUGUUCUUGGUCUCUGCUGCUUCAGGUAAGGGAAUGUCUUACUAUCCCCCAAUCUCCUAUUGGUAAUAUUUAUUUGCUACAGUUCAGACGGCCCUUGAUUGAAUACUGAACUCAAAUACUUACCUUAGACAAGAACCUUGACCAGAGCAGUCAUUUCUAGGCCUGGUUGCCAUAGGCUCUCUUCACAAAGCAUACUGGGAAUGGAUGAAAAGUUCUGAUAUUGCAGCUUCUGGGUGUGCUCAGGACUCUUCUUCACUAUCAUUGGUUGUGUCUGAGACUGUCUAGCUGGGCAGAUUUGGUUGGGGUAGUGGGUGAGGGAGGGCUAGAACUGUGGGAUGCUUUUUUAUUUCCUAAAUUUCCUUCCAAGAACCUCUAGAGUCACUGGAAUUCCAGCCCUGUGGCUUUGGUUAGCAUGUGGGGGAAAGUUUACCUUCUCAUUCCUAGAGCUACAUUAGGGGAAACAAGCACUAUGCUGUUUGGGGUGAAGUUGGUAUUAAUUUUCCCUGAGAAACAAUACUGUUGAUGAUGGUUGGGUUCUGUGGGCCUGUUAGUUAACAAUAUAAUUCAUCUAUAGUAUGAGUUAAGUGGACUUGUGUGGGCUAUUCUAUUAAUACAUUGUCUGCAACAUUAUUUCUAUGAGAAUAAUGUAUCCUGAGUUCCAAAAAAUUGACUUAAAACAUUUGGAAUACACACCAUUACUUAGUGGGGACUCAUCUGGGGCACCCAUAAUGGAUGGUUCAGAAAAUAUGGUCCCUGCUGCUAUUCACUAGUGCUUAUCAAUUUCAGUCUCCUAGCUUUAAGUUUCUUGAGAACUCUUCAUUUCUUCACAUGAUUUAGGAGGUAGAAUGUGUGCAAUUUUCUAGUCAGCUGAGAAGGUUCAUUCUCAAUCCAUUUAUUUUUGUAGUUUGGUAAAAGGAUAUCCUUUUACUUUUUAAAAUUUAAAUUAUGAAAUAAUAAAUGAACAUUGAGUAUAUAUAUAAAUUUUCUACAUUCUUACCAUUUUGAGGGUAAGAAUAUACUCUUACCUAGCAAUAAUCAAAAGUGUAAAAAUCCUUAUAUAAUUUCCUAUAUACGUAAAACUCUCUGUAUGAAUUCCUUAUAUAAUGUCAACAUCAUUUGGUUCUGUCAAUUUUUGCUUUUAAAGUUAUGCUUUAGAUGUAGACAAGUUAAAAUUUUUCUGUUAUUUUGGUGAAAUGACCCUUUUAAACAUGAAGUAGUAAUUCUUUUUUGUUAAUAAUGCUUUUUGCUUUAAAGGUACUUUAAUCUGAUAUUAAUAAAACUAUAUCAUGCAAAAUUGUAUAUUCAGAGUUGCCUGUUAUAGAGGAAAACUGGCAGCAACAAAAAAGUUUAACAAUUGGACAUUGGAUAUACAGUAAGAAUAUGUUCAUACAUUGAUAUACUAUGCAGCUGUGUAAUACCAUAUUAUACAUUAUAACCUUCAUGAAGAAAAAAGCUCACAGCUGUGCAUGUAGAAAAGAAAAUGCAAAAAAAGAAAAAAAAAGAAGCAUACUACAAAAUAGCUUGUAUUAUAGCAUGCUAUUUUUGUACCUCCCGAUACAUAUGUAAAUAUAUGUUUAGCAAAUAACCUGAUAUUAUCCACUAGAAUAUAAUAUUGGAUACUUUUGGGUGAAGAAAUUAUGAAUAAUUUUAAAUUUUUUGUUCUCUUUUAAAAAUAUAUUCCUGUGUCAUAAGUUAAUUAUUUAUUUCAAAUAAUGAACAUAUGCUACUUUUAAAAGAAAUGUAGCCUUUUAUUUGACAAAAAAGCUCUCCUAUUAUUCUGUAGCUUAUAAACAAGAAUUCUGAGCCAGAAAAUUACUGUUCUUUAAAAAUGUCCAUGAUUCUUACUUGUUUUCUUUGUAGAUUUUUAAAGAAAGAUAACUACUUUGAAUUACAUAAACUUUAAUUUCUAAAACGCAAAUGUCUGUGUAGAAUAGUAAAAUUGUAUCCCAUACUUUUUCAACAAAAGUAGUCAUAAACUUGGAAUGGAAUGUGACAUAAUAAAUUGCAAAUAAUUAUAUAAGAUUUUCGAUUUCAAACAUACAUAUUAGGAAGGCCAAACUGAGACUAGAAUUUUAGAAGUACAAAUGCAAUUUUUUUUGCAUCAUGAUUGAAUAGGAAAAAAAUCCCCUCAAGUCUGGCUGGCUGAAUGAGCAUGUUGUAAGUAGAAUGUAUAAUUUUGUUAGUGUACCCCUCAGAGGUUGGCCGAUGAGUAGCAGCAAUGCAGUAACAAUAUAAAGCUGUCACUUGGUGGAGCUAGAAUACUAUGUAAUUCCAAUAUCCUCUUUCGGCAGAUUUCUUGGAGAAAAUGGUUUCAUGGCAAAAUGUAAGACUAUUGCCCCCAGUUGCCAAAUAUUGAAGUACUUAGCCUUUGGGGAAUCUGGUUUUAUGGUUUUCUUUAUUAUUGUGCCAGAGUAUGAGUAAAUGCCAAACUUAUGGGCAUUUACUGAUUACAGUUAAUAAAUUACAAUCUUUUCAUCAUGCUGAAUUCAAUGCCUUCCCCCCACCCUGCCCCAGGAGUUAGUUUAAAUGAAUAUAUCAUCUAUUGAUUCAGUGACGUUUUCACACAUUUCAUAUGGCACUUAAUAGCCCAGUAUCAUUUCACUUGCUAUGUCAAUUACUGUAAAAUCAAGAUGGGCUUUUAGGUAGCUUAUGAUGCCUGGAACAAAAUGCUCAAUGGAUAUUAUACAAGUGUUUGGUGAUGAAUACCAGCUUCUGGGAUUCCCUGGGCAGGGUGGAAAUUUUAGAUCAAUUCAAAUAUUGACCAAAACUUUUUAGAUGAAAUUUUAGGGUGACCAGUAAAUGAAGACUGCCAUAGACUCAGGCAAUCCUUCCCUGGAAUGAAUUUAACGCUUUUGGAAAAUUCUGGAUUGUAGCCGUUCUUACUUUGGUCUUCCUAAAAUUGAAAAAUUGAAGAUUUUUGCAUUUGUAUUUAUACAUGGGUGUGUAUAGUUUUGUGCCUUUAUCAAGGUUAAAUUGUGCCAACCUUUUCUCUCAGGUACUAGGCAUAUUCCAAAAAGACUAAUUUUAAAAUUAGAUUAAUAUCUUUCAUACUUAAAAGGUGUUAGCUCAGAUAAAAUUAUUGCAUACCUUGACUAUGUGAAUGGAUGCUGAAAUUAAUGUAUUUAUGGAUCAUUAUGUUGACAUGUGAAGAACAGUAAUU
rnacentral:lncRNA from 1 species